GGGAAUUACAAGGUCUUAAUAAGCAGGAAACAGCUGAUAAAUAUGGAAGUGAGCAGGUUCAUGAGUGGCGUCGUAGCUAUGAUAUUCCUCCUCCGAACGGAGAAAGUUUGGAAAUGUGUGCAGAGAGAGCUGUUGCCUACUUCACAGAGCACAUUGAACCCCAACUGGCAAGUGGAAAAAAUAUAAUGAUUGCAGCCCAUGGGAACUCAUUGAGGUCCAUCAUUAUGUAUCUUGACAAGCUAACAUCCCAAGAGGUUAUAAGUUUGGAGCUUGCCACUGGAAUCCCCAUGCUUUACAUAUUCAAAGAAGGAAGGUAUAUUCGCAGAGGAAGUCCUCCAGCCCCAACUGAGGCAACAGUCUAUGCUUAUACAAAGAAAUUGGCUCAGUACAGACAAAAGCUAGAUGAUAUGUUUGAGUAACGUGACAAGGGGUUUGCUUUCAGUUGAAGUAGAUUUGAUAUGCCUCUUGAAGACUAGUUUCUCUUGCAAAUGGGAGUGAUUUGUUUUUUCGUUUACUGUAGUCUUCUCAUAGAUAGGCCAAACAAACUCGGCCACUUUUUCAUAAAUGUUGUUCUAUAUGUGUUGAUACUGUGAAUUGUAAUGUAGAAUAUUUUUUGGUUUUGAUCAGUAUUUGUAGACACAUUAAAGAGAAUGAGCCUACUAGUGUUUUUGU
rnacentral:misc_RNA from 1 species